rnacentral:rRNA from 1 species
CCCCUAGAUGUUCUGGGCCGCACGCGCGCUACACUGAACAGUUCAACAAGUCUUAACCUUGGCCGAUUGGUCUGGGUAAUCUUUGAACGCUGUUCGUGAUUGGGAUAGACCUUUGCAAUUAUGGGUCUUCAACGAGGAAUUCCUAGUAAACGCAAGUCAUCAGCUUGCACUGAUUACGUCCCUGCCCUUUGUACACACCGCCCGUCGCACCUACCGAUUGAAUGGUCCGGUGAAAUCUCGGGACGGCGGCUUGGUCGCUUGCGUCCGACUGCUGAAACUUGAUUAAACCAUAUCAUUUAGAGGAAGAUGAAGUCGUAACA